rnacentral:rRNA from 1 species
CAGUCGCCACGGUAAUACGUAGGGUGCAAGCGUUAAUCGGAAUUACUGGGCGUAAAGCGUGCGCAGGCGGUUAUAUAAGACAGAUGUGAAAUCCCCGGGCUCAACCUGGGAACUGCAUUUGUGACUGUAUAGCUAGAGUACGGCAGAGGGGGAUGGAAUUCCGCGUGUAGCAGUGAAAUGCGUAGAUAUGCGGAGGAACACCGAUGGCGAAGGCAAUCCCCUGGGCCUGUACUGACGCUCAUGCACGAAAGCGUGGGGAGCAAACAGGAUUAGAGACCCGCGUAGUCCCUGUCUCUUAUAC